AUUGAACGCUGGCGGCAGGCCUAACACAUGCAAGUCGAGCGGAUGAAGGGAGCUUGCUCCUGGAUUCAGCGGCGGACGGGUGAGUAAUGCCUAUGAAUCUGCCUGGUAUUGGGUUAUAACGUCCGGAAACGGGCGCUAAUACCGCAUACGUCCUGAGGGAGAAAGUUGGUGAUCUUCGGACCUCACGCUAUCAGAUGAGCCUAGGUCGGAUUAGAUAGUUGGUGGGUUAAAGGCCUACCAAGGCGACGAUCCGUAACUGGUCUGAGAGGAUGAUCAGUCACACUGGAACUGAGACACGGUCCAGACUCCUACGGGAGGCAGCAGUGGGGAAUAUGGGACAAUGGGCGAAAGCCUGAUACAGCGAUGCCGCGUGUGUGAAGAAGGUCUUCGGAUUGUAAAGCACUCUAAGUUGGGAGGAAGGGCAGUAAGUUAAUACCUUGCUGUUUUGACGUUACCAACAGAAUAAGCACCGGCUAACUUCGUG
rnacentral:rRNA from 1 species